GCACAGGAAAAAUGAUAUAUAUUAACAAAAAAUGGCAUGGCUUCAGAAUUGGAAGAAUUGGAAGACUCUUGCAAAAACCCACUUGAAUAGCAAGAUAGACAACGUUGGCAAGUGUAAUCAGUACAAAUCCUUCCGCUGAUCUACGAAAAACAAACUUUGCUAUUCAUCAGAUGCAACUUUAUUUGUGUUCAUGAGACUUAUAUUAUCUAUUAUUUAGGAAGAAGGUGCAACUUGUCU
rnacentral:misc_RNA from 1 species